CGGGGUGGAGCAGUCUGGUAGCUCGACGGGCUCAUAACCCGUAGGUCGUAGGUUCAAAUCCUGCCCCCGCUACCA
rnacentral:tRNA from 1 species